GGAUGGCUCAGUUGAAAGAGCAUGAGACUGUUAAUUUCAGGGUUGUGGGUUUGAGUUCCACAUUGAGUGAAAUA